GCCUCUGGGAGGGGGGUCCCCCAAAUGAGUGAACACAUGUGCAAGCUCAGGAGGGACUAACAAAAGCAGAUGUGCUAUGUUUUCCGUCUAAAAAGACCAGCCUAUCAUCAGGAUAGCUAAUAUCUCACUUGAAUCUUAAAAGACCCAUAGAGCAUCACUGGGAAAGGAGGCUAUCUUAGGAAGGGAAAAUAAAACGAGAAAAGGAACAGGAGACAGGGCUUGGCAUGUCUGAGGAACAGGCGGCCUCUGUGCAGGAGGCUUUCGAGAGAGACCUUCUCUGGAGUGGAAGCGGGUGGAGCUGAGGGGGAGGAGAAGACGGGGCGGAGGCCAGGGUCAUGCUCAAGGCAGGACUGAGUCUGGGCCCGCAGGUAAAGGGCAGCCUUCAAAGGACUCAUGCUGCGGCCUUUGACUGAGAACAACAGCUGAGGGGAGGGUGGGCAACGGCAGCCACGGGCGGGCACCGGAGGCGAGGUGACACGCUCAGAUGCUGCUGCAGCAUCCAGCGGAGAGGCGACAGGGCCUGGGCAAGGCUGGGGUAGCAGAGGCACAGAGGACCGGUCAGAAUCCUUGAUGCUGUGUCUCCUUUUCUUCUCAGGUAAUGAACUCGUUCCAGGAAAUACAACCUGACAGUUUGCUCUAGACUUAUUUGUUGCUCAAAGAACUACUGAACUCCUACUACGUGAUACAGAAUUGAAUAAAAUGCGGUCCCUGUGGCCUUAAGGAGCUCAUGCAGCCUAAGUAAGUAUAUUAUUAAUCUCUUAUUGCCCACCCAUCAAGUUGUUUCCUUCCAAUCUUAAAGGUCGCAGAGAAAUCUUACCUAAAUGCACUCAACUCUAAUUGACGCUUUUAGUUCCCGGAGUGGAACUUCUUUGUCCCAUCUAAAACGAGAUGCCACAUUAAGUAUGGGCAUUAACACAGAGCUCUUGCUUAGCGUUUUCUUUCUGGUGGGUCUCUCUGGGGCCUGAGAGAUUUCUCUCCAGGCCUUGCACUUCCCACUGCCUCUUCUUAGCGUUCUAUGUUCAUAAGACCUCAACGCUUGAGUAUUUUUCUUUUCCAUGAUGCCAGUGUUCCAAGUUAUGGGGUAACUGGCUGAGGGAGUGAUGGAAUGGGAGACAUCCAAGUCCUGGCUACAGUCUUGGGGGCUCUGGGCAUGAGACCAUAGGAGGCAACAGCUCAGCUGCCUGAGUUCAGCGAGGUGCAGAAUUCCCCUGGCUGAGGUGCUGCCGUCCUCAGGGAGGUGGAGUAGCUGUUUCAAGGACAUGGUUAGGAAGUAGCAUAACUGGGAUUCAAAACCAGCUACUCUGACUGCAAAAUCUUUCUCUGAUUGUUAUAAGGUACGGAGUCCUCAACAAAUAGAGAAUUUUCAGUUAAACAGCUUUGAUCAGAGGAUUUCUGGAAUUUCAUCAGCUGAAAAAGCACUAAUGUUUGAAUUUUCCUAAUAAGCAUGACAAGGGAUACAGAAUUAACACGCAAGAGUCCUUUCGGGCUGCAAAGCAUACAGAGCAGCAUUAGCUCAUGAGAGAACUGAGGAUUAAGGAGCUUUCACCUUGUUCUUAAGUAAUGAUUAGAUUGCAACCAGAUAAGAAGCCUUCCUUAAUACAGUAUAUAAGCUCAUGGCUGCACCAAUGGCUACUGUUAGUUACAACUUGCAAGAGUUAAGACAAAUGAAUACAAAGGCUGACUUCACAUCUCCAGCACGCUAAUAUACUUUGGGAAAAGUUCGCAUAAUUUACCCUUCAA